AUGACUGGCGGCAGCCUACACAUGCNAGUCGAGCGGUAGAGAGAAGCUUGCUUCUCUUGAGAGCGGCGGACGGGUGAGUAAUGCCUAGGAAUCUGCCUGGUAGUGGGGGAUAACGCUCGGAAACGGACGCUAAUACCGCAUACGUCCUACGGGAGAAAGCAGGGGACCUUCGGGCCUUGCGCUAUCAGAUGAGCCUAGGUCGGAUUAGCUAGUUGGUGAGGUAAUGGCUCACCAAGGCGACGAUCCGUAACUGAUCUGAGAGGAUGAUCAGUCACACUGGAACUGAGACACGGUCCUGACUCCUGCGGGAGGCAGCAGUGGGGAAUAUUGGACAAUGGGCGAAAGCCUGAUCCAGCCAUGCCGCGUGUGUGAAGAAGGUCUUCGGAUUGUAAAGCACUUUAAGUUGGGAGGAAGGGCAGUUACCUAAUACGUGAUUGUUUUGACGUUACCGACAGAAUAAGCACCGGCUAACUCUGUGCCAGCAGCCGCGGUAAU
rnacentral:rRNA from 1 species